rnacentral:lncRNA from 1 species
CUUAAUUCCUCACAGCUCUGGCUUUUCUCAGCAUGUCUUCAUAGCUUUCAUCUGACAGCUAUUGUACUGACAUGUAUUUCUCCUCUGGAUCUGCCUUCUCCAAACACCAAAGACUAUUAGUGAAUUUGAGUUCUGCAGUUAGGAGCCUUCCCUGCCCAGCCGGGGAGGAUGGCAGCCUCCAGCAUACUUCUCUAUUCCGAAAGAAAAUUCACACCAGCCUCGAG